UACGGGGGGGGCAAGCGUUGUUCGGAAUUACUGAGCGUAAAGGGUUUGUAGGUGGCUUGUUAAGUCAGACGUGAAAUCCCUCAGCUUAACUGGGGAACUGCGUCUGAGACUGGUGAGCUUGAGUGCAGGAGAGGAACGCGGAAUUCCUGGUGUAGCGGUGAAAUGCGUAGAGAUCAGGAGGAACACCCGUGGCGAAGGCGGCUCCCUGGUCCGUCCCUGACGCUGAGACGCGAAAGCGCGGGGAGCGAACGGG
rnacentral:rRNA from 1 species